ensembl:lncRNA
AUGGUAUUAUACAUGUUUCAAUGCCAUUCUCCCAAAUCAUCCCACCCUCUCCCUCUCCCACAGAGUCCAAAAGACUGUUCUAUAUACAUCUGUGUCUCUUUUGCUCUCUCACGUACAGGGUUAUCUUUAAAAGAAUCUAACUCUGGUUGUUGGGAAGAAGCUGUGACCCAAAAGGAACGCUUACUAUUAAUACUAUCUGUUGUCUUCGUGCAGGCAAACUUCUACCACGUGCAAACAGUUUUAGAAGAAUGUACAGAUUCCUCAGAUGUUGCUUUAGCCUGUUUGCCUCCCCUGCAAUUUUCACAUAGCCCUUUGGAUUGAUGAGUCAUUGUGGACGUCUUGCCUAAGCUUCUAGCUCAGCAACUUUCUAGGAGGUUUUCUUCAGGAUCCCAUCUGAUGUCCCACUGGACUCUCAGGAAGAAGCCCUCCCCAAAAUCGAUCCUCAACCUCCUGUCAGUUACUCUGAAAAGAGGACCACCUUCCACUCUUCAAGCUCUCCUCCCAUCAUUCUUCAUGGCCAACUCAUGCACAACCAAGACUGAUAUUCAGUUGAUUUGCAGAUGAAACUAGGAAAGUUCAAGAUAACCCUGGGCAAAGCACUGCUGUGGUUACUUUUACCAUGAAGGACAUUUUCACAGGACGACUAAUAAUUAAAGAGCACCAGGAAGAGCAAAAUACGAAAGAAAAGAUCUAUGUGCUCCUUCCUGGGAAAACUGAAGUAUAAGCAUUGCUUAAGGCACUUAUAUAAAUAUCUUAAAUUUGUACAACUGAAGAAUUCCAAGCCUCUGGAAGAAAAAGGUAGAGAAACAAUAACUGGACUGGAGUUGCUAAUAAAUGUGCUGUAGGUGAGCUCUUUGAAGAAAUU